GCUGCUUGAAGAUUCAUAUCUUCAAAGGAGUUUGUGCAAAGGAGUUGACGAUUGACCAGCCUUGAAGUUUGGUAAAUGUGAUGAUUCAUAUCUUCAAAAUUUGCUUCAGGAUGAUGAGAGCCACAAUCACACACACAGAGUUUUAAAGCAAAUGGUAGCAAGAGUUCUUCCCACAUCAACUUUUUGUUAAUCAUAGUUCUGCUGUAUAUCACUUUUUGGUUUUCCAUCCUUCAUAUCUUUGGGAAUAUUACAGUUUUAAUUUAAAUUAUUAUUAUAGCAUGUAAAUAAUUCAUGUAAAUCAAUAAAAAAUCAAUUCUUA